rnacentral:misc_RNA from 1 species
GGUAGAUGGUAUUAAGGUUAUAUCAAAGUACUUGACAUAAACUCGAACAUCCUCUGAAUCAAUAUCCACUAAAGCCACAGUGGCAAACUUGGACACCUCUCUCACAGAUUUAUACAGGAUGUCGUCAAGCUGGAGGCAAAGAGGAUCAGAGGAUCGGCCGAGACGGAGGACGAGGACUUUGUCGAUUGUGUCCCUUAUUAUAGAAUCUACUUCUUCCUUCUUCGUCAGCGUCCUCAAUAUAUAAUCCAUCUUCUCUCCCCGUCUUUUCUUCGAAUUACGGCCAAACGCUACCGGGAAAACUUUAUAAGUAUUUGCAUGCGAC